ACAAUGAUUUCCUAAACAAUAUGUCUAUAUAUUUAAUGACAAAGAUUUUCCCUUUUUAGCCUCUCAUUUUACAGGUAUUUGCUGAAGUAAGAUUAGGAGUUUUAUGCAAAUUCAACAGGUUGAUUUCCAAUCCCAUCAUCUAAAGAACAACCAAUUUUAUUAUUGAUAUUAAUACAGUGAAAAUGUGAAGACAGUGGAAGCAAAGCACACUUGAGCAUAUACCUGAUCUUAGGAUGGAGCACGCUUCUCUGGUCUAUUAACACAGCUCCAGGUGAGUUGAGGUCAUUGUUCACCUGUGUUAUCAGAUGGGAAAACUGAAGAGGUUCCUUUAAGAGAGUUAAAAUGGCAGACACUCCACUUCCAGUCCAUGCUGAUGACGGUGGGUUAUAUACUGAGACUCCCUCUUCCACGUCUAAUGUACUGGUACAAGAAGGGGCCUGUCAUGGUAACAGCCCGUAAACACUGCAAUGCCUAAUGAAAUCAACAGAUCUUGGAAACCUGCUUUAGAGUUUUUAGAGAAAUCAUUAAAACUUUUAAAGUA